rnacentral:rRNA from 1 species
ACAUGCAUAUAGCAUAGCGUUAAUGCAUCAGAUCCCAUUAGAACUCCGCAAUUAAGUGCACUCAGGCUAGAGUAGUACUGGGAUGGGUGAUUGCCUAGGAAGUCCUAGUGUUUUACAUGCC